rnacentral:rRNA from 1 species
AUUGAACGCUGGCGGCAGGCCUAACACAUGCAAGUCGAGCGAGCGGCGGACGGGUGAGUAAUGUAUUGGGAUCUGCCCGAUAGCGGGGGAUAACUACUGGAAACGGUGGCUAAUACCGCAUACUAUCGGAUGAACCCAUAUCGGAUUAGCUAGUAGGUGGGGUAAAGGCUCACCUAGGCGACGAUCUCUAGCUGGUCUGAGAGGAUGAUCAGCCACACUGGGACUGAGACACGGCCCAGACUCCUACGGGAGGCAGAAGUGGGGAAGAUUGGACAAUGGGGGCAAGCCUGAUGCAGCCAUCCCGCGUGUAUGAAGAAGGCCUUGGGGUUGUAAAGUACUUUCGGCGGGGAGGCGUUACCUGCAGAAGAAGCACCGGCUAACUCCGUGCCAGCAGCCGCGGUAAUUC